AUUACCAAAGCAUAGAAAACAAGGAUUUCUGCAUAACUUACAAAAGAAAAGAGUUUCCCUCUCUUUCAAAAGAAUAUCCCCAUUCUAAUUUUUGUUGAGCUCCCAACAUUAAACGAAGCUCUAUGUGGGAGGUGACCCACGAUCUUAAGUUUUUAUUUUCACUAUAUAUAGUUGUUACUAGUAUAUUUUAUUUUUAUUUCUAUUUUUAUUUUUACUUUUAUUCUUAUUUUUCUUCUUAUUAUUACUAUUAUAAUCUCUUUUAGCACUACUUGCGAUUCA
rnacentral:lncRNA from 1 species